GCUUAGACUCUCAACGUGCAGGCGAGCGGCGAAACCACCACAUUUGACCCUGUGUGCCGUCAACGACUCAUCCGGGCUGUGUGGAUGAAAGAUGGCGACGCUUAUCCUCCCCGGUGAAUGGUUCAAAAACUGGGAGAAAUCGGGAAAACACGAAUUUGUACAACUCUGCAAAGACCUGACAGAGAAAAAAGACCAUGGAAGUAAGAAUAAAGAUAUACAAGCCGCCUUAUAUGAGCUCUGCUGGCAAGCUGUAAGAGGGACCCUGAAGUUGGACCAUGUCUCCAAUGUCCUCGGGGACAUGAUGGAACUCCGAGAUGACAUGCCAUCAAUUUUAGCAGAUGUUUUCUGUAUCCUAGAUUUAGAAACGGGGGCACUGGAAGAAAAAAACAAGCGUGAUCAUUACACAGCGUUGGUGGGAGCAUGUAUGUUUUUUAUUCCAGAGGCCAUUCUAAAGGAGAGGCUGGAUCCAGAAACCCUGGAGUCUCUGGGUCUUAUAAAACAAGCUCUUCAGUUCAAUCAGAAGAUUGUAAAAAUCAAAACCAAGCUCUUUUACAAGCAACAGAAGUUUAAUUUGCUGCGGGAGGAGAAUGAAGGCUACGCCAAACUAAUCACAGAGCUGGGACAGGACCUGUCAAGCAACAUAACCAGUCAUCUAGUCCUAGAGAGCAUCAAGUCACUGAUAGGAUGUUUCAACCUCGAUCCCAAUCGUGUGUUGGACAUAAUCCUGGAGGUUUACCAGAGUCGAUGUGAUCAAGACGAGUUCUUCCUGGCUCUCAUCAAAUCCUACAUGUGUGAGCCGCUCACCCUCUGCCACAUCCUGGGCUUCAAAUUCAAGUUUUAUCAGGAGCCCAAUGAGGAAACCCCAAAGUCACUUUACCACAUCGCUGCUGCUCUGCUGAAUCACAAACUGAUAGAGCUGGAAGAUCUUUAUGUACAUCUCAUGCCACAGGAUGCCGUCAUCGUUGAGGAACAUAAGCGUGACAUCACGGAAGCCAAGCAGAUUGCGCGUAAACUGGUCAUGGUUGUUUUACCCUCGGAGAAGAAUGACGACAAGGAGAAGGAAAAGGAGAAAGAAGAAGACAAGAAUGAGAAGCCGCCUGAUAACCAGAAGCUCGGUCUUUUGGAAGCUCUGAUCAGAAUUGGAGACUGGCAUCACGCCCAGAGUAUUAUGAACCAAAUGCCGUCCUUCUAUGCUACGUCUCACAAGGCGAUCGCACUGGCCCUCUGUCAGCUUGUGCACCUGACUGUGGAACCUCUCUACAGAAGGUCCGGUGUCCCAAAAGGUGCCAGAGGAUGUGCAGUGACUCCUCUAAAGAACCAACAAGCCCCAAAGCCUGCAGAGAACUUUGACGACCUCCGCAGGGACACGUUCAGCAUGUUGUGCUACCUUGGCCCCCACCUCUCUCACGACGCUAUUCUUUUUGCCAAAAUAGUUCGUCUGGGCAAGGGUUUUAUGAAAGAGUACCAAAGUGAACUCAAAUCAGAGAAAAUGGAAACACUUCUGAGUUGUUUCCUCAGCAUUGCAGACCAGGUGUUGCUGCCUUCUCUCUCACUCAUGGAGUGUAACGCCUGCAUGUCAGAGGAGCUGUGGGGCCUCUUCAAACUGUUUCCCUAUCAGCACAGGUACCGUCUGUUUGGUCAGUGGAAGAAUGAGACGUAUUCCAGUCACCCACUCUUAGUUAAGGUCAAGGCACAGACUGUGGAGAGGGCCAAGUACAUAAUGAAGCGGUUGACCAAAGAGAAUGUGAAACAAUCUGGAAGACAGAUUGGCAAACUAAGCCAUAGCAAUCCCACAAUCCUCUUUGAUUAUAUGCUGUCUCAGAUCCAGUGGUAUGACAACCUCAUUGUUCCAGUGGUGGACUCUUUGAAAUACCUCACUUCACUCAACUACGACGUCUUGGCCUAUUGCAUCAUCGAAGCUCUAGCCAAUCCGGAGAAGGAGAAGAUGAAACACGAUGACACCACCAUCUCGUCUUGGCUUCAAAGUCUGGCAAGUUUGUGUGGAGCUGUGUUCAGAAAAUACCCAAUAGAAUUGGCCGGACUUCUUCAGUAUGUCACCAACCAGCUAAAGGCAGGGAAGAGUUUUGACUUGCUCAUCUUGAAGGAGGUGGUGCAGAAAAUGGCUGGCAUCGAGAUCACAGACGAAAUGACCUCAGAGCAGUUGGAGGCCAUGACCGGAGGGGAGCAACUCAAAGCCGAGGGAGGCUACUUUGGUCAGAUCAGGAACACUAAGAAGUCAUCACAGCGGUUGAAGGACGUACUGCUGGACAACGAACUGGCCUUACCUCUGUGUCUGCUCAUGGCACAGCAGCGGAAUGGUGUGGUUUUCCUCGAGGGUGGAGAAAAGCAUCUCAAACUUGUUGGCCAUCUUUAUGACCAGUGCCACGACACGUUGGUUCAGUUUGGAGGUUUUCUGGCCUCUAACCUCAGCACAGAGGACUACAUCAAACGGGUUCCUUCCAUUGACAUCCUGUGUAACCAGUUCCACACGCCACACGAUGCUGCGUUCUUCCUGUCCCGGCCGAUGUAUGCACAUCAAAUUACCUCCAAAUAUGACGAGCUGAAGAAGGCAGACAAAGGAAACCGGCAGCAGAAGGUCCAAAAGUACGUGGCUGCCUGUGAACAGGUGAUGGCGCCGGUGCACGAGGCUGUGGUGUCUCUCCACCCUCCCAGGGUUUGGGAUGAUCUCAGGCCUCAGUUCUACGCCACCUUCUGGUCUCUCACCAUGUACGAUCUGGCUGUGCCUCACUCCGCCUAUGACCGUGAAGUCAACAAACUCAAGGUCCAAAUCAAAGCUAUUGAAGACAACCAGGAAAUACCGAUGAAUAAGAAGAAAAAGGAGAAGGAACGCUGCACAGCCCUGCAGGAGAAACUGCAGGAGGAGGAGAAGAAGCAGCUGGAGCACGUACAGAGAGUUCUACACCGCCUCAAACUGGAGAAGGACAACUGGUUGUUAACGAAAUCCACUAAGAAUGAGACCAUCACAAAGUUCCUGCAGCUCUGUCUGUUCCCUCGCUGCAUCUUCUCUUCCAUCGACGCCGUGUACUGUGCACGUUUUGUGGAGCUGGUCCACCAACAGAAGACUCCCAACUUCUGCACACUUCUGUGCUAUGAUAGGGUCUUCUCUGCUAUCAUUUACACUGUGGCCAGCUGCACAGAAAACGAGUCUCAUCGCUACGGACGCUUCCUUUGCUGCAUGCUGGAGACGGUGACGCGAUGGCACAGUGACCGAGCCAUCUACGAGAAGGAGUGUGUCAAUUACCCCGGCUUCCUGACCAUCUUCAGAGCAACGGGCUUCGAUGGAGGAAACAAAGCUGAUCAGUUGGACUAUGAGAACUUCAGACACGUGGUGCACAAAUGGCACUACAUGCUAACCAAAGCUUCAGUUCAUUGUUUAGAGACGGGGGAUUAUACGCACAUCCGGAACAUUCUCAUCGUCCUCACCAAGAUCCUGCCCUGCUACCCCAAGGUCCUCAACCUGGGUCAGGCACUGGAGUGUCGCGUCCACAAGAUCUGCCUCGAGGAGAAGGACAAGAGGCCAGACCUUUAUGCCUUAGCAAUGGGUUAUUCAGGUCGGUUGAAAAGCCAGAAGGUGCACAUGGUCCCUGAGAACGAGUUCCACCACAAGGAGCAGCCAGCACGCAGCGCCACUCCUGCCAGCCAACAGAACGGACCGGGCAGCACAGGGAAGCCCGCCACCGGCACGAGCAAGACGGACGAGGGAACGUUGGAGGACGGAGAUCGUGGAAAGGACAAAUCUCAGGGGACCACAAAACCAGUGAACAAAGCCAACAGUGCAGCGGCUAAAGUGACCACCAGCAAUGGCAACGGGGCUCUCAAUAGCACCAAAGUCGGAAAAGAACGGGACGACAAAGACAAGAGUGGGAAAGAGAAAAAGGAGAAAAAGGAAAAGACCCCGGGAAGCACUCCAGAGAUGAAAGCUGAGAACCGUCGGGAGAAGCAAAGAGAAGAGAGGGCAGGAAAGGAUGAGCGAGUGCUGCGUGAGGGUAAGGAGAAGACCCCCAAGACGGACCGUGAGAAAGCCAAGGUGGAGGAGAAGAGCAGCAAAGACGACAAGGCCAAGGCCGGCAACGGUGAGCCCAUGGAGCUGUCCAGGGAGCGUGACGCCAUCAAGGAGACCAAGAGCAAGGAGAAGGGAGACAGAGUCGCGGUUGUCGGGUCCCUCAAGUCACCAGCGUUGAGAUCGGAGUCGGCAGAGAGGGAUCACAAACGACGAAAGCUCGACAGUCACUCUUCUCCGUCCCACUCCUCCACUGUUAAGGUUAGUAUGGCUUGAAGGAGGCUGUGCCCGUUUCUUCUCUAUCUGCCGGAGCAUCCCCUGCCGUUGCACAUUCCAGCAGCCUUGAAGAUCACCGAGGAGAAUUGUCCUUCAUGCAUGUGUGGCAUCUGGAAAUCCCAGUCAAAUCCCUUGGAUUUGGAAAGCAUUCCAUGGACAUCAGAAUAAUAUUUUUUUGCAGCAAUGGGAGAAAUCUUCCCUAGAGACCUAAAAAGAAAAUUUGUAUAUAGUAAAUAUUUUCAUAUUGAAAUAUUUAUUUAUUUUCCUAUCGUUGAAAGCAAUCGGUGUGCCUUGGGAAGGAAGAAAAUUUUAAGCACUUCUAUAUUCUUCGUGGAUUUUUUUGUUUUUUGAAGAAAAAAAAAAUUUUGAUACGUCUUUUUGUUUUUGAGAAGUAAAAAAAAAAAGCCCUCAAGUCUGGAGCGGUUGCCUUUUUCAACAGAAGAGUUAUUUUCCAACAUUACAAGCGUUGUUCAAGUUAAACCAAGAUCUUCCUCAUUUAUUUUUUUGUGCGCUGAGAAGCUAUUUUUGCCCCCGACCUCCCGCCCCCUCCACAUUCUUCCGCCGAUCCUGCCUUGUUCCUGCAUGGAUUCCCACAGCCUCUGGCAGCGGAGUCUUCUGCCUGAGAAGUCCCUGUCUACAUCAACGCCCUUUAUGAAUCAGCACGUGAGCUUCCAAUCCCAAGAUGCGUAUCCAGUCGGUCCAGCUGACCACCACUCCCCCCACGACCCCCCCAACUCCAUACACUAGUGAAACCACAGCCAUCUAUCGGCAUCAGUCCCACGGGUUCCUGAGAAGCAGUUGUUGAGAAUUGCAGCCAGCGCUAGACCAGGACCAGGGGGAAGAGGAAAGAUGAAAAUGAAAGUCGCAUUUAUCAAUCAGCCAGAGAAGUGGAGGAGAUAAAGUCUGACCCAUCAGAGCGAGAGCGAGGGAGCCUGAGACGGAUGGACAGACAGACGGAUGGAUGGACGGACGGGUGGAAGAGUGGACGAAGCUUGAAUCACCUGGAGCGUUGCCCAAACCCCCUGGAAGCUUGUGAUAGGUCUUUAUUUUAUCCUUCCACCAGAGAAAUAGGCUCCAGCUGUCAAACCCAUGAACCUGAACUCCUUAGUCCUUGAAGGUCAGAGGUGACGGGAGACGUACGCUGUCGGUCCAGCCAGCCCUGCCUCCCAAACCUCCCACCUCUUCUUCCAACUCUCUACUGCUGUCUGACAACCUACUCCCAACCCCACCCCCUCCCAGCUCAUCUGUCAUCUCCAUUCAUCCCUACAGGACAAUAGCAACGAACUCAAGGAGUCUGCGUCCAAGCAUCACAUCAACUACAAUUCAGUUUCGCGGUCCAAGAGCAGAGAGAGGGAGACGGAGAAGAAAGAGUCAGAGAACGCACGAGGCCGAUCCAAAGAGAG